rnacentral:rRNA from 1 species
AAAUUGAAGAGUUUGAUCAUGGCUCAGAUUGAACGCUGGCGGCAGGCCUAACACAUGCAAGUCGAGCGGUAGCACAGAGAGCUUGCUCUCGGGUGACGAGCGGCGGACGGGUGAGUAAUGUCUGGGAAACUGCCCGAUGGAGGGGGAUAACUACUGGAAACGGUAGCUAAUACCGCAUAACGUCGCAAGACCAAAGAGGGGGACCUUCGGGCCUCUUGCCAUCGGAUGUGCCCAGAUGGGAUUAGCUAGUAGGUGGGGUAACGGCUCACCUAGGCGACGAUCCCUAGCUGGUCUGAGAGGAUGACCAGCCACACUGGAACUGAGACACGGUCCAGACUCCUACGGGAGGCAGCAGUGGGGAAUAUUGCACAAUGGGCGCAAGCCUGAUGCAGCCAUGCCGCGUGUAUGAAGAAGGCCUUCGGGUUGUAAAGUACUUUCAGCGGGGAGGAAGGCGAUAAGGUUAAUAACCUUGUCGAUUGACGUUACCCGCAGAAGAAGCACCGGCUAACUCCGUGCCAGCAGCCGCGGUAAUACGGAGGGUGCAAGCGUUAAUCGGAAUUACUGGGCGUAAAGCGCACGCAGGCGGUCUGUCAAGUCGGAUGUGAAAUCCCCGGGCUCAACCUGGGAACUGCAUUCGAAACUGGCAGGCUUGAGUCUCGUAGAGGGGGGUAGAAUUCCAGGUGUAGCGGUGAAAUGCGUAGAGAUCUGGAGGAAUACCGGUGGCGAAGGCGGCCCCCUGGACGAAGACUGACGCUCAGGUGCGAAAGCGUGGGGAGCAAACAGGAUUAGAUACCCUGGUAGUCCACGCCGUAAACGAUGUCUAUUUGGAGGUUGUGCCCUUGAGGCGUGGCUUCCGGAGCUAACGCGUUAAAUAGACCGCCUGGGGAGUACGGCCGCAAGGUUAAAACUCAAAUGAAUUGACGGGGGCCCGCACAAGCGGUGGAGCAUGUGGUUUAAUUCGAUGCAACGCGAAGAACCUUACCUACUCUUGACAUCCAGAGAACUUUCCAGAGAUGGAUUGGUGCCUUCGGGAACUCUGAGACAGGUGCUGCAUGGCUGUCGUCAGCUCGUGUUGUGAAAUGUUGGGUUAAGUCCCGCAACGAGCGCAACCCUUAUCCUUUGUUGCCAGCGGUUAGGCCGGGAACUCAAAGGAGACUGCCAGUGAUAAACUGGAGGAAGGUGGGGAUGACGUCAAGUCAUCAUGGCCCUUACGAGUAGGGCUACACACGUGCUACAAUGGCGUAUACAAAGAGAAGCGACCUCGCGAGAGCAAGCGGACCUCAUAAAGUACGUCGUAGUCCGGAUUGGAGUCUGCAACUCGACUCCAUGAAGUCGGAAUCGCUAGUAAUCGUGGAUCAGAAUGCUACGGUGAAUACGUUCCCGGGCCUUGUACACACCGCCCGUCACACCAUGGGAGUGGGUUGCAAAAGAAGUAGGUAGCUUAACCUUCGGGAGGGCGCUUACCACUUUGUGAUUCAUGACUGGGGUGAAGUCGUAACAAGGU